UACGUAGGGGGCAAGCGUUGUCCGGAUUUAUUGGGCGUAAAGAGCGUGUAGGCGGCUUCACAAGUCCGCUGUGAAAACCCGAGGCUCAACCUCGGGCCUGCAGUGGGUACGGGCAGACUAGAGUGCGGUAGGGGAGAUUGGAAUUCCUGGUGUAGCGGUGGAAUGCGCAGAUAUCAGGAGGAACACCGAUGGCGAAGGCAGAUCUCUGGGCCGUAACUGACGCUGAGGAGCGAAAGCAUGGGGAGCGAACAGG
rnacentral:rRNA from 1 species